GUCGAGCGGUAGCACAGGGGAGCUUGCUCCCUGGGUGACGAGCGGCGGACGGGUGAGUAAUGUCUGGGAAACUGCCUGAUGGAGGGGGAUAACUACUGGAAACGGUAGCUAAUACCGCAUAACGUCGCAAGACCAAAGAGGGGGACCUUCGGGCCUCUUGCCAUCAGAUGUGCCCAGAUGGGAUUAGCUAGUAGGUGGGGUAAUGGCUCACCUAGGCGACGAUCCCUAGCUGGUCUGAGAGGAUGACCAGCCACACUGGAACUGAGACACGGUCCAGACUCCUACGGGAGGCAGCAGUGGGGAAUAUUGCACAAUGGGCGCAAGCCUGAUGCAGCCAUGCCGCGUGUGUGAAGAAGGCCUUCGGGUUGUAAAGCACUUUCAGCGAGGAGGAAGGUGGUGAGCUUAAUACGCUCAUCAAUUGACGUUACUCGCAGAAGAAGCACCGGCUAACUCCGUGCCAGCAGCCGCGGUAAUACGGAGGGUGCAAGCGUUAAUCGGAAUUACUGGGCGUAAAGCGCACGCAGGCGGUUUGUUAAGUCAGAUGCGAAAUCCCCGGGCUCAACCUGGGAACUGCAUUUGAAACUGGCAAGCUAGAGUCUCGUAGAGGGGGGUAGAAUUCCAGGUGUAGCGGUGAAAUGCGUAGAGAUCUGGAGGAAUACCGGUGGCGAAGGCGGCCCCCUGGACGAAGACUGACGCUCAGGUGCGAA
rnacentral:rRNA from 1 species